rnacentral:lncRNA from 1 species
AUACCCCUGCCGAGAAGUCUAACGGUGAAUCAGUGCCCCUGUCCGUCAGAACACUGGUUACGCUCGAAAAAACACCUGGCAACUGAAAAGUGAGUUUGUAGCGUUGGAAAACGCGGCACGGACGUGGAGCAAGGCCGUUUGUGCGGGCGUGCUACGCACACCGCCAAUUUAAGAAGCGUUGUCUUUUUCUCCCUGAUGGAUGUGAGGCGAAGCCAUAUCUACAGUGCGCUUCGUGUCUGCGGCUCCAGUGUACCCGUUGAAGCGCGCGUCAUGGAGCGAAACGUGGUACGGACCAAAGCCUGAAAUCUACUCGGUAGAAACUGUCUGAAGAGAACUAGUUUGCAGAACAGCCACGGCGCGCUUUCGACGGCCGAAGCUCCCGAGGGGGUGAACGGGAACCCGUGGGCGCUAAAGAGUUCCCGGUCCUACAGACCGCUGAGGGGCUGUUCGCGUGCAAGGAGAGGUGAUGUGGAUCUGCGAACGAAACGGGUUUUCCCGCGUUGGCGGGUGUUCUCGCCUGUUCCACGCGACGCGCGCCUUUUGCAGCGCUCUCACUUUCUGGUGUGUAGGCGCCCGCGGUCUCCUGAAGAAGUCUGCUGAAUCCGAAGUCACUCAAUUCAACCUCAACAUCCGGAAGAAUCUGGUCCAUCUCGUCGCCACUGGCGUCUGCCGCAGGACACGGGGACACAACCGCGUCGAGUUCCAGAUUGUUUUCGACGACGUCGGUACUUGCGGCAGUUUGUUCUGAGUGGCGAGCUCGAUUUCUUCGCCCCGCUCAGCCGUGGACAGUGCAGAUCGACAGCCCGUCGUUCCACGGAUGUUUUGCCGUGAGAGGCCUCGGCGGUUGCUUGGUUGCUUUCUGCGUCUCUCCGGUUCCACCGAAGUCGCACAACGUGCAAGGCAAUGCACGCCGCGACACCUUUUGCACUUUUUUCCGAGGACUCCCGCCUCUUCCUGGUUACCGAACGAGGGCGAACAAGUCCCGCAACACCGUGACAUCGUCUUGUGCUGCCUUACCGAUUCUCAGCUGCAUGAAUCCUACCUCGUUCCGCAGAAGGGAUGGAACCUCCACGCGUCUGUCUCGCGAUCUUUCCAAUCGAGCGCUCGGGACCGUUCUCGUCUCCGAUGCACGUCUCCACUCCACGAAGCGUCGGUGCAUUCUCUGGUGCUCCGAGCGUUCGAGAGGUGUCCGAACGCUGACGUUCUCCGUGAACAGGAACUCCCUUUGGUGUCGUUUUUGUCGUGCGGUCGCCGGCGCACGUGGGAUUCCGUUUCCUUCCGACGGACGGUCGAAUGAGGAUGUUUUCCGGCUUCAAGUUGCGGUGGAGGAUGCCGUGUGCGUGCAGGCAACUCAGGCCGAGCAAAAUCUUCUGGAGAAUGCGCCACACAAACUCGCAGUGUAUUUCUCUGCUGUGGAACUCAGGCGAGCGGCUUCGCGAGCGUCGGGGCGAGGGGCUCGACGCAGCUCGGGAGCGAGAUUUCUGUUUGUUCGCCGACGCGGGCGAGACCGCACAAGCUCCAUCUGUUGACGGCGUGGCAGUGGCCGGUGGGGAACAGGGAGUGAAGAAUCCAGUCACCUUUAGCCCCUACGGCAAAAGGCACAGCAGCAAUCCCGCAGCAACUCAUGGCUGAGUUUCGAGUUCGAGGAACGGUCGCGAGUCGGUAGGCCUGGAGCCGUCGCGCGGGGCAUCUGAAUGUCGAGAGUCGCCAACGCGGGACAACAGCCAGAAAAGCGGAAAUACAAGGCGAACCCAGAAGCAGCGUUUCGAGCGUGAAGCCUCUCCAUCCCUUUUCGGCCAGCACGCUCAACGGGAAAAGCGAAGAGAGAUCAACGGUGCAUCAGAAAAGGAAGGAGGGGAUACGACUCGAAUGACCGUGCAGCACAGGAGAACAGGGCAGAGAUACUCAAAGCCUCGGCUGCUUUAGUGGAAAGACGAAAGAGGCACAGAACGCACCUCCCAGAAAGACCGUAGGUUGGUCUCACAGAAAUCAGUUAUCAGGUAGAGCGUGCUGCCCUCGAUGUGGCAUCCGAAAAACUCAACAACAUUCAAAGGUUUAUGAGCAUCUUCGGCGUGCGUCAUUGGCUGGAAGACAUCCGCAGAUUGCGUCUUCUGCGCAACGUUUUCCGUCCCGCUCCCCCCCCAAAUGCCAUUCCGAUGUGCGGCGACUGGAGAAUUUCCUUCUCGAUGCACGUUCCCGUCCAAACGCGGGCGUCUCUCUCGUGGAUAGGAAGAAGAGUGGGAACGAGACAAAGCAGAGCAGGAAGACCCACAAGUGGGCGGGAGAGAGGUAAACGAGGUCGACGAAGAAGAGACGUGGCUGCUUUCCGUCCCGUCACGCUUCGCUGUUCUUCUCCCUCCCUCUGGAUCCUCUUGUUGGUGCACCUGAAUUCGCUGCAGGUGAAGUUCUUGCAAGAGCGAUGCUUCUCGGAGCAACGACGCAGGAACGCCGUCGUCGAUUUCUGCGUUUGCGCUCGCCAGAUUGACGCUUCGAACAGCCACGCGUGUAAAGAGAGGGCGUCGUUCCAAGUCUUGCGAGAGGCCGCACCGGGGGCAAGCGGCAGCUAAAGGAGGAGGGGGGAAAGGAUGAGCAGAGAGCGAACAGCAACGCAAAUGGGAAUUGGGCGAAUGCGACACAGAAGACGGAAAGAGACAUCUGCCUGGGCACCGAGGCUUCACACGUGGAGCAGGGUGUCUGCUAUCAGUAGGAUUGGUCCCUGCGGUAGGCGAUGAAGCAAGUGACUCACCGGCUGGAUGGACGUCGGUUGUUGAAGGUCGAGACAUCAUGCAUACAUCGCGGUAUUUGCCGGUAGAAGCAGUAGCAGAACCAAGAGAAGACCGAGACGUACCGGAAGUAGCCCUGGAGAUGCGCGUCGUGCGCUCGUCAUGCAAAUCUUGAGAUGUAACCUGUGGCGGAUCUACCCGGCAUGUGUCUCGAGAUGUGAAUGAUGCGGGAAUGGAACGAGAAUUCCAAGUGGAAGUCCGUUCCUCAUUCUCCAUUUGACGAGAUCUCGCACGCUCAGGAUCCCCAUCCCCAACGUAAGUAAAGGUCCGCCCCGGCGUAUAACCAGAACGGUGGACUUGUCCUUCGAUUGCCCUCUUUAGCGAUGCGUUCCGUACCGCCUCGACGACGGCCACCGGCAACCGAGCAAUCCGAACUUUUCCCUUCGAUCGUCUUUCACUGAGAACCCCACGGGGAUCGAAACGGAGGCAAGACAGCAACCCCUCGCGUCUCAGCACCGCCGACCAGUGAGGCGAAGUCAGAACUUCAAGACGGAUAGCUUUACAGGUAACCGCGAGCGACGAGUACGCAGUUGAAGUUCCCAGGGUCUCGAGAAGCAAACCGCAGAUUGGUAGUAGCGAACAAGUUCCACAGAGCGACGGCGGUGGACAACCUGGAAAAUCUCUACACCGGCUGUUUCCGAUAGGCUCCUCUGGAAGAGAAGUUGUGUGGCGAAACAAAGAUGCACCCAAGCAUGUCUUCGUAAAGGCGCCUUCCUCGCAGCUACAUGAAGCUAAUUUAGCAACCAGAACGCUGUCAGGACAGACGCUCCUAGCACAACACCUGCUCGACAAGAAUCUUUCCGGAGAGAAAAGGGAUGCAUUUCGAGCGGAAGGGGAAGUCUCCUUCCUCUGUGCUGCAUCUGCAUCGCUCGUUCUCCGUAGCUGGAGUGGCGAUGGAAUUUUUCCAUGCGGAAACUCUGCAGUCGCAUUUGGGCACGUGUCGGCGCGCACCAACUGCCGCCCGGGAGGUGCCUGCAUCUCUCGGGAAGAAUUUUGAAGAUUCCGGAUAGGCCGACUCUUUUACGUGGAAAUGGCUGCGUGCACGUGAAUUUCUUCGCUGCUGUGUUGACUUCUCGGGGACGUAUGGAGAGGAAAUCGUGUGUCUCCUUGCGCCUUCGUGUUUCCUGCUGCCGUAGGGCAUGGGGGCUUAACACUUAAAGGAUUGAAGUUCACGGGAACGGGUUCUGUUUACAAAUACUAUGGAUUCAGAUACACAGGAGCUCCAGGGGGUUUUAAAUGCUAGUUGAAUGGUAGAGUGAAGGCCCUGCACCGAUGAAAUAUGUGUGCGAACACGGAUUUCAUAUGGAAGUUGGAUCUUUCGAGAUAGGAUGCGAGUUCAAGUGGCAACCGCAUGUUACGUGUAUAUGGGGGGGAUUACUGGUUGGAUCGCCGGUCUGUGCUUGGCAGACGAGAAUAUUUGGACGUGAGAGGAAAACAGUCUACAGUACGCACAUGGCGGGACUUCUCUUCUGUGUAUAUGACAAGGGAUUGUUAGAAACCGACCAGCCAAGCACAAAUUCGAUGCCUAUUUUUCAGUCUGUGGAUUCGCUAGCAGAGAUCUGGUGUACACAGGGACAUAGUUUGGUGAAUCCGACAGCGGGGUUCAAAUCCCAAAAUACGUUUUGAGUUGGUGUCUUCGAUGCAGGGAUGGGGAAGGAUUGAUUGUAGGAAGAAACUUUGAACCUCGAGUGAGAC